rnacentral:rRNA from 1 species
CCUACGGGAGGCUGCAGUGAGGAAUAUUGGUCAAUGGACGAGAGUCUGAACCAGCCAAGUAGCGUGAAGGAUGACUGCCCUAUGGGUUGUAAACUUCUUUUAUAUGGGAAUAAAACGUUCCACGUGUGGGAUUUUGUAUGUACCAUAUGAAUAAGGAUCGGCUAACUCCGUGCCAGCAGCCGCGGUAAUACGGAGGAUCCGAGCGUUAUCCGGAUUUAUUGGGUUUAAAGGGAGCGUAGGUGGAUUGUUAAGUCAGUUGUGAAAGUUUGCGUCUCAACCGUAAAAUUGCAGUUGAAACUGGCAGUCUUGAGUACAGUAGAGGUGGGCGGAAUUCGUGGUGUAGCGGUGAAAUGCUUAGAUAUCACGAAGAACUCCGAUUGCGAAGGCAGUUCACUGGACUGCAACUGACACUGAGGCUCGAAAGUGUGGGUAUCAAACAGGAUUAGAUACCCGGGUAGUC